rnacentral:lncRNA from 1 species
ACAAGAGUGCACACGCUGAAAUGUCUCGCCUCCUAUACUAAUCAUUGAUAUUAUGUUGAUAGUCCUAAGUAUAAAGCUAAGCUGUCACAUAAAGUUAACAUUAACCAAGAUAACUAAACAAAGACCAAUGAACCUUGAAAAUGAGGUCAAGGUCAGAUGAACCAUGGCAGGCAGACAUGUACAGCUAACAAUGCUUCUAUACAACAUAUAUAGUUGACCUAUUACUUAUAGUUUAAGAAAAAUAGACCAAAACACAAAAACUUAACACUGUGCAAUGAACCGUGAAAAUGAGGUCACGGUCAAAUAAAACCUGCGCGACUGACAUAAAGAUCAUAAAAUAUUUCCAUACACCAAAAUAGUUGACCUAUGGCAUAUAGUAUUAGAUAAAAAGACCAAACUCAAAAACUUAACUUUGACCACUGAACCAUGAAAAUGAGGUCAAGGUCACAUGACAUCUGCCCGCUAGACAUGUACACCUUACAAUCAUUUCAUACAACAAAUAUAG